UACGGAGGGUGCAAGCGUUAUCCGGAUUCACUGGGUUUAAAGGGUGCGUAGGUGGGCAGGUAAGUCAGUGGUGAAAUCUCCGGGCUUAACCCGGAACUGCCGUUGAUACUAUUUGUCUUGAAUAUAGUGGAGGUGAGCGGAAUAUGUCAUGUAGCGGUGAAAAUGCUUAGAUAUGACAUAGAAUACCCAUUGCGAAGGCAGCUAACUACGCGAUAAUUGACGCUGAUGCACGAAAGCGUGGGGAUCAAACAGGA
rnacentral:rRNA from 1 species